GGUCGAUGAUGAUCAGUAAAAGGUCUGAGAGCACAGGGAAAUUACACUCCACUACCCUCUUGGCUCCCAGCAGUCCCCCUUCUGUCAUGCUGUAGUAGAGCUAUGAUUAAGGAAGAGAUUGCUGACAGUUUGAGAUUAAUUCAGUUCCAGUUCUCCACAGUGAAAGGAGUUGUGGCACUGAGUGUCAUCCAACAGAACUGGUAAAGAGGAGCUUGUGGUAGUGGAGUGUCUUCACUUGUUGUGUGUGAUCUGAAGUUUUCAAGCUGAGACC
rnacentral:snoRNA from 1 species